GUGAGUAGUUCAGAGUUUGAUCCUGGCUCAGGAUGAACGCUAGCUACAGGCUUAACACAUGCAAGUCGAGGGGCAGCGCAGUGUAGCAAUACAUGGGUGGCGACCGGCGCACGGGUGCGUAACGCGUAUCCAACCUUCCCGUUACUCUUGGAUAGCCUUCCGAAAGGGAGAUUAAUACAGGAUGGUGUUUGAAUUCCGCAUGUUAUUCAAACUAAAGAUUUAUCGGUAACGGAUGGGGAUGCGUGACAUUAGGUAGAUGGCGGGGUAAUGGCCCACCAUGCCUACGAUGUCUAGGGGUUCUGAGAGGAAGGUCCCCCACACUGGAACUGAGACACGGUCCAG
rnacentral:rRNA from 1 species